AUCUUCCAAAUAUGUGCUGCUUAGUUGAAGAGAAUAACGUACUCUGAUAGAAAAGGACCAUUUUUGACCAAGAGCAUAUGACUAUCUAUACUUUCUUGCAAGUAUUUCCACACAAGUUCUCGAAGUCCAUUUGUAGGAGAACAUAAAGCAUAUG
ensembl:misc_RNA 7SK 7SK RNA